rnacentral:rRNA from 1 species
AACGAACGCUGGCGGCAGGCCUAACACAUGCAAGUCGAGCGAGCACAUCGGGGUGAGCGGCGGACGGGUGUGUAACGCGUGGGAACGUGAACUUUUCUACGGAAUAGCUUCGGGAAACUGAGAGUAUUACCGUAUACGCCCUAUGGCGGAAAGAUUUAUCGGAAAAGAAUCGGCCAGCGUUGUAUUAGGUAGUUGGUGGGGUAAUGGCCUACCAAGCCGACGAUUCAUAGCUGGUUAGUGAGAAUGAUCAGCCACACUGAGACUGGGACGCGGCCCGGAAUCCUACGGAAGGCGGCAGUGGCGGAUCUAGGACAAUGGGGGCAACGCUGAUGUUGCCAUGCCGCUUAAGUGAUGAAGGUCUUAAAGAUGUAAAGCUCUUUCAGCUAUGAAGAUAAUGACGGUACCAACAGAGGAAGCCCCGGCUAACUCCGUG